AUGCCCAAUGAUUAAGAAAAGACGCGUUAUUAUGAGGACAGAAGCUGGCGUCUCCUCCUGCCCCCCCCCCCCCCCCCCCCAUCUUCCUCCUUUUCUUCUUCUCCUAUCUUCACCGCUGUCUCCCUAUUCUGGAGUAACCAGCGUCCUUUGAGCACAAUUAUGAGAUAUGAGGGCAU